AGCACCCUGGGGUUCGGUGGUGAUGAGGGAGGACAGGCUAGCACUCCAAGGGGACAGUGUUAGCUUAAAUCCUGGUAGAAACAGUUCAAUAGAGCAAGCAGGUACUCUUCACAAAUCAGUUAGCAGGUUAGAGCAAACACCAAUAGGGAUGGACAGGCCAGCACUUCCAAGAGGACGGCAUUAGCUUAAAUCCAGGUAGGGCAAUUCAAUGGGGUAGGCAGAUAUUAGUCAUAAAAUAGCUAGCUGACUAGAGCAGACACCAAUGAGGAUGGACAGGCCGGCGCUUCCAGGGAGAUAGCGUUAGCUUAAAUCCAGGUAGGGCAAUUCAAUGGGGUAAGCAGAUGUUAGCUAUACAAGCUAGCUGCCAAAUCUCACGCUUUGC